rnacentral:lncRNA from 1 species
CGAGGGCCGUUCGAGUGUGCGUCGUCGCGGUUGCGUCGUUGGAGGCAGGGCGAGCGCGUGGUUUUCUCUCCUUUCGACUUCUUGCUGUAGUUGAAUUAGCGAUUCAAGGUGGGUUGAAGUUUACCGAAAUCGCCGGAAUGCCUCCUAAGUUUCUAUAUCUUCAACAUGUAUCAUUUGUUUAUUUUCUUGCUAGUACUCGAAUUCAUGAAUUAGAGUUAAAAUCUGAAUUUGGAGUUAAGCUAGCAGUAUAAUUUACGUGUUGAACUUAAAAUUGACUUAGGAGAAAACAUAUAGAUUCUACACUGUCACUUUUUGAAAAUUGCUAGAUUUAGCUUUAGGAGCUGUGGUUCCGUUAUAUCGCCGCUGUUUAUAUGUGGUGAAUACCGAGAAUAGUAUAGAAUGAAUUUACGCUAGUGCUGGAAUGCCGAAUUUAUUUUACAGUAAUAUGCAGACUGUUUUAAAUUGUCGGAUGCCGUCACGGUUGACGGUGGACCCAGAUUGCUGUGUUUGCAUCAGAUUGUGCCAAGGACACGUGAGCUUUGGUUGUUAGACCAGUUAGACCCAUUUGCUUUGAUUAUAGCCUGUGAGAGCUUGACUGAGCUCGGUAGAGAUACACUUGCAUACUCGGUUGGGUAGCGCCCUCGAGUGCCACUCCGGAGUCGGGCUUAGUACUUUUGCGCUGAUAUCGUAGUGUCCUGGUUGGACUUGCUCUCCACCGACAACCCAGUGUGGUGGUGGUUGGUGUAACUUCGACAGGCGGGACGAAUGUGUUCACAGCCUCUAGUGAGAUUGGGUCAGAGAUUGCAUUGUUAUAUCUAUAGACAGUUAGUGUUGGUUAGCGAUAGUAUAGUGACAUAUAGCUGUAGGAUUUUCAGCUUUCCUUACUAUCUCUUGCACAUUUUUCUAUAGACUUAGUGAGUGAGUCGUAAAGGUCGGUAACGGUACCCACUGAGGAUUACUCUUUUUUGCAGUAGUUCUCACACCCAGUUGUUGAUCCCUUUUUGCAAAGCCUUCGUUUGCGGCUGCUGCUGUUGCUGAUUCUGAUCAUGGAAAGGGAAUCGCGAGCUAAAUCCCUUCCAGAUUUGCUGUAGUAUUAGAGGAGUACCUCCCACAGAUAGUUUUGGGGUUUUUAUAUACAUAUGUUGUUAUCGGGGAACUCGCUAGAGCGAGUGUGUAGUGUACUUUUUUGUAUGCUCUGAACCGCUCGAGAUUUUUAUAUAUAUUCUAUUUUCAGUUUAGCAACUCUUCACCUUGUGGUUGUAGUUUGAUUUUGUUACAGGUACAGCUAUCGCUUCGUAUACAGGAAAAAUUCCUAUGUAUACAGUGGGUCUGUUGGCGUGCCUGAAAAAACGUGUAAUCCGAGGUGUGACAUUAAAUUAAUAUAUUAUAAAGAUAAAGUUAAUAUAUCAAUUUGAUUACGUUUUUUAUAUUUAUCUAAACCAAACACCGACAAUGGAAAUGAUUUAUUCUAAUUCGGAUUCAGGAAACAACCGAAACAGAAUUAAAUAAUGAGUCAUUCCGAUUCCGAUUCUAACUUAUUUCGAUUCCGAUUCUGAUUCUGAUUCCGAUUUUGAACCAAACGCGCCCAUAGUAUAGAUAUACUAGAAGACCUAUAUCUGAU